ACUACAACCAAACAAUGCUCGGCGAUCGCGGCAGCUGCUCUCCAAAUGUCAGCGCCAAGCCCGGCCAAAGGGCUGGAAGGCCACCGAGCCCAGGACUUUGUACGCUACCUUUGUCGCCCACAUUUUCCCCAAGCACUCUCAGGACCCUGGCAACAGGUAACGUGGCAACCUUUGCCUUCUAAAACGGCAAGCGGCAGGAUUUCAGAGAACAAAAGGAUUUUUUGAAAGCCAGCUGCAUCUCCCUCGCCACCCCCCUCCCCCUCCCCACGCCCUCCCCCUUCGCCACACCAAGUCUGAGAAAACAAAGUAUUGCUGCGGCAGCCCGGCUCUCGAGCGCCCCCUUGUGACCAAGCUCGGAACAUCACCGAUGUACCUUUCAAGGUACAACUUCAGUCCGAGGCUCGGCUCCCAGGCCGAAUGCCAUCCACACAAAAGAGCUCCUGUCGACAUCUCAUUUACAAUCUGCCCCCAGGACACAGACAGGACCAUUUCAAUAAACCCGGCUCAGAAACACCUAUUGUUCAAAAUCUUCAACUACCCACAGGCUACCACCACUCCCUAUUGUUUUGUAAAAGAAAAGAUUUAGAAGGAGCCAGAUUGGGACCUGGAAGCUCUGAAAAGAGGAAGGAAUAAAGUCCCUUUGACCCGAUGCUGUUGGAGAACGUGCAUGAAGAAUAAAGUUAAUGGAUUUUCAUUUUUACAAGAAGUGCAUAAGCAACGCCCGCUCCCUUCCUGAACUAGUGAUCGGGGAUUCUAAAAGCAGUGCCAACUUUGUAAAGAAGUUAACUCCUGCCAUCGGGUUUGGCACCUGAAAAGUCAAAGGCUCUACUUACCCUAUUCUCUGUCUUACAAAAGCCCUGAUGGCAGCCGCAGCAAAGCACCAGCUAGUAAGCCGGGUGUACCCCUGCUCCUGUGCAAAAGGCCUGUGAAACUCUGAAGCUAUACCUGUACACAGAUGUGAUCCGAUGAUGCCAUCUCAUCUCCAUGGCAACCAGGUGUCUCAGUUAUCUAGUCUGGUGCCAGGGCAUCGGAGACCUGCCACCACCAUGCUGUUCCCCGGUCACUCAGUUCCAAAUUUAUGAGAUUGCCUCAGUCCCUUAGGUAUUUGUUCUCUGAAAGGUGUGGAAUUGUGCUGAGUACUUUUUACAUAUGAUCAUCAUUCCUUUUUACAGAGUUGGAGACCCAGGUAAAGUUCAGAGCAGCUCGUAACCUGCCUGCAGCCAACGGCAUAUUCCAAAGGUGGCUAAAACAAUAUUGUCCAUCCCACAUGGUCUUCUAGAACAGGGGUCAGGAAAGUCCUCUAUAAAGAGCUGUACAGUAAAUAUUUUUGAUUUUGCAGACCAUGCAGUCUCUGUCCCAAACACUCAACUUUGACAUUGUGGCAAAGCCAGAAACAAUAUAUAAAUGCACAAACAUGGCUGCCUUGGAGAGGUGAGCCUGAUUUGUUCCAAGGGUCAUAAUUUGCCAACCCUGCUCUAGAACUUUGCCACUUCCCAUGGUGAGGUGGAGUCUGAUACCCCUCCCCUUGAACUUGGGGAAGUGUGUGAUUUGCUCGUGACCGAGAGAGUAGGAAGGAACUGACAGUGCAUGACCUCCAAGGCUAGAUCAGAAAAGGUGAUGCUGUUUCUCCCUUAGUCCCUGGGACAUCUGCCUGCUUGGAGCCCUGAGCCGCCACAGAAGCAUCCAAUUUUCCUGAGGCCGCCGUGCUGUAAGGAAGCCCAAGUCAGCCACGUAGAAAGACCACAUGAAGAAGCCUGGAGACUCUUAAGAAGAGGGAGAGGUGUUCAGCAGCCCCCAGUGAUCCAUCUCUCCACCCACCCAACUGCAAGCUUGGAAGAGACCCUGAGCCAGAACUACCCAGCCGAAGCUCUUCCCAAAUUCCUGCCCCAUAGAAACUGAGAAAUAAUAACACGAUUGCUGUGGUUUUAAGGCACUAAACAAAAAACUUAGAACACUGUCCCAAAACUAGUGAGUGGCAGAUAUGGGAUUCAAACCUAGGUUGGCUUGACAUUCUAUUACAUGAUCAUUAAUCAUUCUAUUACAUGAUUGCUUACAGCAGCCUUUUUAAAAACUGGUGCUAAAAUAUAUGUAACAUAAAACUUACCGUGUUAACCAUCUUUAAGUGUACAGUUCAAUAAGUACAUUCACACUGUUGUGCAACAUAUCUCCAGACCCUUUUCAUCUUGCAAAACUGAAACUCUACCCAUUAAACAAGAGCUUCCCCUCCCUCACCCCCAGCCCCCGGAAACCACGCUUCUACUUUCUGUCUCUAUGAAUUUGACAACUCUAGGUCCCUCUUAUACUGUAAGUGGAAUCAUACAGUGUUUGUGAUUUUUGUGACCGGCUGAUUUUACUUAGUAUAUACAUGUGUGUAUUUUAUAUGUGUAUAUUUUAAGCCCAUGUUGGGUAGUGGGUCUGACCAGCGAGCAGCAAAGGUUUGUCAAAGAAAAAUGUCAGAGACCCCAGGUCUUAUAAGUCACAGAUUCAAGGUCCCAGGGGGGACUUUGCAUCAGCAGUUACUCUGACAGUGACAAUUCAGUGUCCUGCCUCUAAAGGGCUUUGAAGACAGAGGAACCCAUGAAUCAAGAACAAGAUAAGGCUGUUUGCUUUGUUUCAACUUGCUGGCUGACUUCCUUCUCAGAGCCAUGCCUUGAGGAUGAAAUCAUUUUCUACCACACAGCCCCUGCAAAGACCGUCAAACACAAGCCCUCACUGUCUGCUCCUUUAUUUCCUCUGGGUCCAGGGUGUGUAUUGACUUGGUGGAAUGUCUGUGACUUGCUGUAAAUUGUGUAUCAAGCAAAAAACUUUCUGCAGGGAGUCGGCUCUUGGGAGGGUGAGCCUUAAAUGCUGCUUCUUGCUUAUAGAGACUAAGCCUCAGCCUGCGGGGGCUUCUUUGACCUCCUCCACCUUCCUUCCAUCCCUGACCUAAGACCAAAAGGCAGACCUGGGCCCAGGUGCACACGGUGACAGUCCCAGCUUGGCCUACCCUUCCCUAUGCCUGCCCUGAUUGCGCCUGGCCCACCUGUUAACACAGAGAAGUGGAGAUAAGGUCUUUAAAGAGGUGAUUAAGUUAAAAUGAGGUAAAAUGAGGGUGGGCUGGAAUCCAAUAGGACUGGGUCCUUAUAAAAAGAGAGAGAGAGAGACACCAGGGGCGUCUCACAGAGGAAGGGUCAGGUGAGGAUGCAGAGAGGAUACAGCCGUCUGCAAGCCAACAAGAGAGGCUUCAGGAGAAACAGCCUGCCUACACACCUUGACCUCAGACUUCGAGGCCCCAGAACUGUGAGAAGGCCCAGCCCCAUCUCCCCCAGACAGCUGCCGCUACAUCCCUCUCCUUCAGAAGCGGAAGCAAGGGGUGUUUUAGGACCUUUCCGGGUGAGUGACAGCAUUUGAGAUGCAACUGAUAAAACGCCAGUGCUGAGAGGAACCAGACUCUCCCCAGUCACCUCCGCCCACCUCUCUCGUGCCGCCUAAACUGAGCCUGUCGGAGCCUGUCGGAUGUUCGUCUGUGCGAUCCGGUCACGUCCACCUCUUCUGUGAGACGGUGGGCUUUGGUGACUCGGGUGUGAACUGUCCCUUUGGGGCAGUGGGGCUGGGACACUCUGCACGCGCUGGGCCACAUGGGGACUGGCCGCCGUGACUGUGCCCCCGAGCUUGCGUCGGGCUCCAUGGGGGCCACUCAGGGUAUCUGUCCCUGUUGGCGAAUGAGGUCUUAUUCCAGCUCGCCGGGGAGGCUGCAGGGUUUUUCCUCAGCCACCCCGUGAUGACCGAGGGACAACAUUCCGCGAAACCAGAAGGGCUGGGCGGGCCUCUGGAAUGUCAAAGGAAACAGCUUGGAGAGGCUGGUGGCUGGUUUCUGCCGUGUCACUUUCUCUGAGCAGCAAGCACUUUGUAGCCGUUCACUUAGCACCUGAAUCCCACAAACAUUAAGAUGUACCUUUCUUAGAAGGGAAGGGCCAGUUUAUUUUUCCUUCACAGAAACAGUUCAUGAUAAACAGGUCACGAUAAAGACUAUUUACAAGAAUAGGGGAAACUAACAGAGGAAGACUACCCCACCCCCUUUUAAUUCAAAUUUUAUCUUAUUUGUU